CUUCUCCUCCUCGCCUCUUCCUCGCUCUCGCGCUAUCGCCGCUGAUUCGCCGCCCCCGCCUGCCGCGCCACCGGAUCAAGCGCCCCCCGAACCCAACCCUUGCGCGCCUACAGCGGGUUAGGCCCCCACCGAGGAGGUGACGAGUGGAGCCAAGCCUCCGCCAACAACGAGGAAUGGGAGCCGUCGACCUUCCGCGACGACGCCCCAAACCCUAGAUCCCGCAUCGAGCAUGCCGGCAGCGCAAAUCCGCUAGGAGUCCAGCGGUGAUGCGCACAAUCCAGCGGACGACGACGCGCCUCCCAUCGCUGGCCCUUCCUCGUGCAUCGGCGAGCACGACCCUACCAUCCGAUCCGGUGGACGGCGACGCGCCUCUUGUCACUAGCCCAUCCACGUGCGUCCUUCCCUGGCGAGGGCAACCCAGCACCAGAUCCCUUCAUCUUUCCCUACUGCAGAUCGCUUCUCUGAUUUCUCCCCCAAGAUUUCAAGAACUCGCACAUUCUUCUUUUUUCCCUCUUUCUUCGCUGAUUUCUCCCCAAAUUCUUCCUAUCACAGUCCCUGACUUGUUCCAUCCUUCCUCUCAAUAAGUUUGUUGCGCCUCACCGUCGGCGACCGGACGCAGCAAGCCAGGCCUCCUCCCACCGAAUCCUUCUCUCCUCGAGUGGUGAUUUCAUCUUUUGCUGGUUCUUCUUCUUCGGAGUGCAAAAUCAAUCUCAGCUGACACCACAGGAAUUGGUACCCAAAUUUUUUCAUCAGGGGGUUUAACUGAACCCGAUGCCCUAUGUUAAGACAACCCCUACCAGCUGCUGCUCACCUCGCAGGGUGAUUCCGUCGUGAUCGAGCAGAGCGUCUCGUCUUGGGUUCAAUAGAGCAUAUGCUGAGAAGAGGUUGGUAGCAGAAAAUGCAAGCUCGCAAAACAUGCAUAGGAAGGAACUGGAGGCUAGAAUAAGGAAGCAGCUCCAGGGACCUGAACUACUGCCAUCUUCAUAUGACACGGCAUGGGUUUCUAUGGUUCCUUGGAUUCAUUUCAUCUUCGUUUCGAUCGUAUUCAUUUCAUCUGUAUUCAGGUAAAUCGCUUCGCCCUCUCACUGGAUUGCUGCCUCUCAAACACUCAGUGAGCACCCAUCAGAUGACGACUCAGAGAGGAGUGCCCGUCCGGGGGUGCUCCGUUGGACACUGACACAUUGAGCAACCAUACGACUGCUUUGUCCACCGUUGGCCGGCCGCCUCCUUAAGAAGAAAUCAAGAUCAGGAUUGCAUUGAUCCCCCCUGUGCUGCAGUCUGUUCAACCCACACCAAAAUCGUUGUCGUGCUCUCUAUUCCACUCUCCCUCUCUAACGUUCUGAAAUGCAUGUUGGAUAUUCAUGUUUUCUAUUUGUUUACCGAUUUAUACUUAUUUCACAUCCAUCCAAACAUCAUUAAUUCAUGAGGUCAUUCUGGUCUUACCUAGCUUCCUUGAUAUCAAUUGCAGCCUUGGUAGUUGUUGUGAAAUGCAACAAAUGUACCAUAAUCAGUGGAGAUCCGUGGUCUUUUGACUAACACUUUUCGUAAACAAUCGUUCUAGCUAAUAUAACACAUUUUUGCUUGUGUUCCUCCGUGCUCGGAUCCCAGCCAGGUGGGUUCACUCUUGUUUAGAUAGUCCUUCAGUUAACUGAUAAAAGAUGUUAAUUUGAGCUGAAUUUGUUGUAAUUUUUUCAUGUCCUUAUGUGCUUAGCUUCAUCAAGAUUGACUUAUCCUGCAAAAAUUAACUUAGAGAUGGAGCAAGGCUGUUGCAGGGAAAUGAAAUGUAUCAAUCAAAUGCAAAAUUAGCUUGGCAGCAGCAGUUGGGCUUAGCAACUAUGUUGGUCUCUAUUCGUAUAGUUUGAGUGCAAAUUUACCACAUCUCGCUUUAGCUAGCUUUGAAUUAAUUGAACAGAGGUCUUCUAUGCUAUCCCAAAAUACUAGACACAAGCGUACUGAGUGGUCUGUACCAGGUCUAGAAUCUCAUGUAGUGUACAUUUUUGCUUUUAUCAGGAACAUUUUUUAUUCUUAAAAUUGGAUGCUUACAAGAUUUCCUGUUGAGGCUCAUAAUCCAGACAUUGCGUUGUUUUUUGGCAUCUUCAAGGUUAUCCUUCCAUCUAAUUUGUGUGCUCCUCCACUACGGCGAGUUGCUCUACCACGGCGACCGGAUCCAUGGCGACUCGGAUCCAAACAUUCAAAUUGGAUUUGUAAGGCCGCAUGCAAGUGCAUUUGGUCUAGCUACUUGAUGGGACUUUGCCAUGCAGUGCACCAAAGUUAGUUAAAUUUUUAGCUAGAGCACAAGUUCUAUGUGCUUGCAAGUAUGGUCACAUGGGAGUUAAGAGGGACUAAUAGAACAGAUGUUUUGACCUAAUGUCAAUUAUCUAUGAUCUUUCUAUGCGUCUCAUAUAUUUCAUUCAGGCAAAAUAGGUUAUCUUGUUCCUGUUCCGUAUUAGAUUUCAUUUUGCCAAAAUAUUAUGAAAGCCAACAGCUUGUUGAUGGUGCUUGAACUACCUCUUUGGAUCUUUCUUGAGUUGUAGUCCCUUGCAUUUUGAUUUUCAAAUUGAUUUAUCAAGAAGUUAUGGUACCAGUUCAUUGUGAAUUCCUGAUUUCCAUAUUGUUAUACUGAGAUAACCACACUAGAUUAUUGAUUCAUUGCACGACAAAAUGUAGCUUUUUUAGUAAGUCCUUUGCACUUCUCUGAUGUUCUUAUAUUGGUACAGCAUGCACUAUUUCCUCCUCCUUCAGAA